GUGAGGAAUAUUGCGCAAUGGGGGCAACCCUGACGCAGCGACGCCGCGUGGAUGAUGAAGGCCUUCGGGUCGUAAAAUCCUGUCAGAUGGAAAGAAAUGUCAUAUGCCUAAUAUGUGUAUGAUUUGACGGUACCAUCAAAGGAAGCACCGGCUAACUCCGUGCCAGCAGCCGCGGUAAUACGGAGGGUGCAAGCGUUGUUCGGAAUUACUGGGCGUAAAGCGCGCGUAGGCGGCUUUUUAAGUCAGAUGUGAAAGUCCACGGCUCAACCGUGGAAGUGCAUUUGAUACUGAAAAGCUUGAGUACUGGAGGGGAUGGUGGAAUUCCCGGUGUAGAGGUGAAAUUCGUAGAUAUCGGGAGGAAUACCGGUGGCGAAGGCGACCAUCUGGCCAGAUACUGACGCUGAGGUGCGAAAGCGUGGGGAGCAAACAGGAUUAGAAACCCCGGUAGUCC
rnacentral:rRNA from 1 species